UCGAUCAGGAGCUCCCAAAGGAGCCAAACCCUAGCUCAACUUUAAAUGAUCAAGUUGAAGGGUAAAUUGAAGCUCAAAUUCAUGGAUAAACAUGGAUUAAUGAUCACCAUCACAAGAGGAUCAUAAGUUGAUGCUUAACAAGCGACAUGGAAGCUUGGGAAGGAAGUGGGUCAAAUGGGACUAAUGCGCACGGGAAGCAUAUUCGGAUGCUAGGUAGUACGAGUCAUGAGGAUCAUCAAGGGAUAGAGAUCGAGGA